CAGAAGCCCAUUGCUACUAAUUUAGUAGAACCCCCUGGCAAUAUAUACAACAUUCAAAUAUUUUACAGAGAGCUUUUUUGCAUGGUUCUCAAAAGAACAAUUUUGUGUUUGGGGAUAGGACCUCAGAAGAAGCAGUUUGUUCUAUCCUCAGGCCAGCCUUGCAGAGAUUUUUACAUUCUAUCCUGACAAAUUUGCUUGUCUGCCCCUUAUGCCCACUUCUUGUCCUUCCAGCACUGAGAUACGCAGAAGGUGCAUAAAGCUACCUUGCUUUGAGUAAACAAACUGCAAUGUUGGAAAGACCCAUGUGGCAAGAAACCUCUAUUCAACAGCCAAUGAGGAAAUGAGGCACGAAAUAUAAUCACACAAGGAACUCAAGGAACUGAAACUGGCCGGCAACCAUGUAUCUAGACAAGGAGAAGCUACACCUACACCCGACAAAAAGGAUAAAUCUUUAGUCUUCCAUCUAAGACUGAGCUAAAUGCAGAGAUCGGAUGGGAAUUUAAGUUGCCACCUAUGUAGGCAGUUUUUAAUAAAAAUGUGGAAAUUGGAGGUGGAGCGAUGUGGCUGAAUAGAAGCCUCCACUGAUUAUCCUCCCCAUAGGAAGAACACAUUUAACAACCGUCUACACAAAAAAGAAACUUCAUACGAACCAAAAAUCAGCUGAAGGAAAGUAAAGGAGCCUCUACUGACCAGGAACACAAGAUCGCUUUGCUGUGCAAAAGGAAUUUAUGUCCUGCUUCCAGUGUUUCCAGGUUCUGCUUUAAGAUCUCUUAGAAAAUGUUCUUGUCUACUACAGCAUCAUCACUGAAACAAGAGGAUAAGGCCCUAAAAAGUGACACAUCAUGUCUUCACCUUGUGCUAAUGAACCAGAAUUCAGGAACAUUCUAGGUAUUUCUUAUCAAGAUGAAAAUUUUAAAAAUGAGGGUGAAAUCAGGAUCACUGAAGUCAUCUUGACAAGCCUAUUGAAUAGAAGAGGAAGACAGGAGGUGAAGAAGCAAUUUGUAAAUCGUGCACAACCCUGAUUGUCUUCUAUUAGACAACAAAAAAAGAAAACAUACGUAAAUACAGAUGAAAACAGUGGGGGGGAUAUGUUCAGUAAUUAAGAUGCAGAUUCUGUCCUUAAUGGAGUCCCUAUGCCAUAUUAAGUCAAAAAAUCAGUCUGUUCUGUAGCUGAUUAACCAGUAGUGGCAGACAUAUAGCUGUUGCUAUCUGGCAUUCUACUAUCUCAGCGUAUAUUUACUAACUGGCCUGUAAUUACUUUUCUGGAACAUUACCCAACACUGUUUUAAGGGAAGAAAGAAUUCAUUCUCUGUGUAAGAAAAUAAACAGGCAUUGUUUCCAGCUAUACCUAGUUCUAUCAUUUUAAAUGUUAGAUGUAAAACUUAACUUAAAAAAAACUAUAUCAAUAAAUUUGUUUCAAAUGUUUCAACACUGUGCUAUUUAAAAUGUUCUCUAGAGUUAUGCAUUACAUAAGUUAGUCAAUAUAUUACUACUUGAAGCCAUAGCAUCUGCAUCCUUUAUUUCCACUGAUGUGCAGUGACCAUGAAUUGCCUUCCAAAUUAUAUCUAAACAAAUCAUAUGUAAACUCCUCUUCACAACAACAGCAGUCUACACUGCUGUUCAAAUUUAGUAUGAAUCACAGUCACCUGAAGGGCUUGUUAAACCACACCUUGCUACUCCACCCCGCCAACACUGAGUUUUUGAUUCAGUAGGUCUGGAGUGGGACCCAGGAAUUUGCAUUUUUAACAAAUUCCCAGGUGAUGCUUCUGGUCUAGGGGUCACACUGGGACUCCAGCUCUCUUUCACUUUGUUUCUCUUGAAGCACAACUUCAUUAGAUCAUUUUUCUCAUUUUCCACCUAAGAAAAUCCUUUGCUCUAAACAAAUUAAUCCAAUUACUGAAUCCAUUUUUAAAAUUUAAUCAAGUCUUGUCUUCUCAUGUCUGUACCUACCCUACUUGGUGGAGAACUGUAUAAUUAGUAUACACUGAUCACUAUUUGAUAUAUGCAAUGUAUUAAUUAUUA
rnacentral:lncRNA from 10 species